rnacentral:rRNA from 1 species
AGAGUUUGAUCCUGGCUCAGGAUGAACGCUAGCUACAGGCUUAACACAUGCAAGUCGAGGGGAAACGACAUCGAAAGCUUGCUUUUGAUGGGCGUCGACCGGCGCACGGGUGAGUAACGCGUAUCCAACCUGCCCAUCACUUGGGGAUAACCUUGCGAAAGUAAGACUAAUACCCAAUGACGUCUCUAGAAGACAUCUGAAAGAGAUUAAAGAUUUAUCGGUGAUGGAUGGGGAUGCGUCUGAUUAGCUUGUUGGCGGGGUAACGGCCCACCAAGGCAACGAUCAGUAGGGGUUCUGAGAGGAAGGUCCCCCACAUUGGAACUGAGACACGGUCCAAACUCCUACGGGAGGCAGCAGUGAGGAAUAUUGGUCAAUGGGCGAGAGCCUGAACCAGCCAAGUAGCGUGCAGGAAGACGGCCCUAUGGGUUGUAAACUGCUUUUAUAAGGGAAUAAAGUGAGUCUCGUGAGACUUUUUGCAUGUACCUUAUGAAUAAGGACCGGCUAAUUCCGUGCCAGCAGCCGCGGUAAUACGGAAGGUCCGGGCGUUAUCCGGAUUUAUUGGGUUUAAAGGGAGCGUAGGCCGGAGAUUAAGCGUGUUGUGAAAUGUAGACGCUCAACGUCUGCACUGCAGCGCGAACUGGUUUCCUUGAGUACGCACAAAGUGGGCGGAAUUCGUGGUGUAGCGGUGAAAUGCUUAGAUAUCACGAAGAACUCCGAUUGCGAAGGCAGCUCACUGGAGCGCAACUGACGCUGAAGCUCGAAAGUGCGGGUAUCGAACAGGAUUAGAUACCCUGGUAGUCCGCACGGUAAACGAUGGAUGCCCGCUGUUGGUCUGAAUAGGUCAGCGGCCAAGCGAAAGCAUUAAGCAUCCCACCUGGGGAGUACGCCGGCAACGGUGAAACUCAAAGGAAUUGACGGGGGCCCGCACAAGCGGAGGAACAUGUGGUUUAAUUCGAUGAUACGCGAGGAACCUUACCCGGGCUU